rnacentral:lncRNA from 15 species
GUUCAAAUAGUCAUCUAUCCAGCUGUUCUGUGGGGUGCCAACAGAUGGAGAGAUUAUUUUUUCUUCUGUUCUGUAACACAGAGACAAUGACUUUUUUUUUUAAGCUCUCUUUAAUCAUUACAAAAAGAUAAUGGGAAAUCAUUUUAUUUCAACAAUGUUGUAAUUAAGAGAGGGACUGAUUCAUUAGGUCAUUAUGUUUUUGUGAGAAGCUGCUGCACCUGUUAUAUUAAGAUCCUCAUGCAAGACUCACUUUAAAUUUUCCUAUGUGAUUUUCUUGGCAAACCAGUUUAUUCAUGCAAGGCAUUUGUGAUUUAGCCAAUAAAACCACAGUUACAAUUACAUUUUGUGCAAAAGAUUUUCACAAAAGCUUUGCAACAUAGUAAAUCACAUCGUGACAGAAUCAUGACAUUAUGUGAGCAAAACAAUAUGACAGUAUAAAAACCACAUGGUUAAGAGAUGUACUUCAAUUAUCAGCACUGACAGCACAGAGUCAUUGUUCAUGACACUUUUGAAGUUGUUGGUGGAAAUUUUGUUCAUGCUGGAGAGGCUGUCUGAAUGUGGUCCAAACCUUCAGUCACAACAGAUUGAUACAGUUUCUUGGUUGCUGGACAGAACAUUUUGUCCCUGGUUAUGUCAUGGCUCUGCUCCCCUCAUGCUCCCUUUGCUCCUCCUCCUUCCCUGUAUGUCUGAUGUGGGUGCGGCCUCCCUUCACCUCACCUGUGUGCUGUGUCACCUGCUCUCAAUCUGUUCAUCAGUCUCAGCCCUCAAGAACCCCGGUCAUCCUUUCAUUCCUCGCCAGAUUGUUUCAGCCAACUUGGAACCCUCGUGUGCAGUUCAAUUUCCAGAGUCAGCUCUCCUGUGCCUCUGUGUCUCUGCACUCUAAAAAAUAAUGUACUGGGUCUACUCAAAAAGGUAUGUUAACUAUUUGCAUGGAUCUUUUUAAGUUGUCCCAACUUCAGUGUUAUUAAGUAACUGUGACUAGCAUAUCACUAUUACAACAACAUAAAUCAUUAAAUACACUGAAAGCUAUAUUAAGUUAGAUCUACUUGAUAUUCAGUGGGUACAAUUUGAAUUUUCACAUUGGCUGUACUUAAUGCCUGUGUUAGUUACACCAUUAAAUUAAGUACAAUAAACAUGUUUUUCUUCUAUAUCCAAUAGCUAAAUUAAGUAAUACCUACUUAAUAUUAAUUCAAUAUGCAUUGAAAUAUUAAAUUGUCUCAUCAUUCAAAUAAAGUUGCUCUAACUUAAUUUUUUUCUUUUUCUACUCAGAAAUGUCCAUGCAAAUAGUUACCAUACCUUCUUUAGUAUUAAUACCUUGAUUUACUUAAGUCAGGGGAAAUAAAAAAGAAGAACCACAUUUCACAAUUCAACAUUUUAAUAAACAAAUGUCAAGACAGCUUCUUUUUACAGUCUCGGUCUGCAAAAACCAAGGUAUACUUACCAAUUUAAUUAAAACAAAAUGUAUCCCAAAAUAAUUUUGGAGAUUAUUUUAUCAAUGUGAAAUGAGCUAAAAAUUAACUCUUGAGCUAACACUCCAGCAUACUAAAGUCUUUGAUGAACUCAGACUCGGACCCAGGACAUUUUCAAAUGAUUUGUAAGAUGGUUAUAUUGCAACAACAUUGCUACAAAACAUGGGGAACCUUGAAAUCACUUUAAAUCAAACUCCAGCAUUGAAGAGAAGUUUCAGUGAAGUGAAAAUGUUAAACACACACAAGUUCAUCACAGUACAAGUGAGAACUAUGUUUGAUGUUCAGCAACGAGGUUCAAAGAUUGCUGACAGCUUCUGCUUAAGCGAUGUGACUUUUGGGGUGGUCUUCUGACCAUCUAAUUUUAGGAACACCUUUUGAAAUGCCUAAGAGUUGUCAGAAUUAAACUUUCAUUCAGUUAAAACCAUACUCCUGCCAACUUUUAUUAAACAACAACAACAAAAAACAUUUACCUGUGCUGGAAGAAAAAGAGCAGGCCAACGUUCUUUCAAGUCACUGACAGGUGGGGACAGGGUGACAACUUCCUGUCUGCGAAUAGACAAUGUCCUUUCCUUUUUCUCAUUGAUCUGGGAAUUAUUCCUCUUCUUCACUUCGCUUAGGAGCUCCAGUCUUUCACGUUCCAAACUUUCUNNNNNNNNNNNNNNNNNNNNNNNNNNNNNNNNNNNNNNNNNNNNNNNNNNNNNNNNNNNNAC